rnacentral:misc_RNA from 1 species
UCCCCGUUGCCGAGGCAGUCUGACUAGACAUAUACAACUAGUCACGAGGGUUGCGCUCGUUGAGGGACUUAACCCGACAUCUCACGACACGAGCUGACGACGGCCAUGCAUCACCUGUCACUUGUCCAACUAAAUGAAGACCUAAUUUCUUAGAUCGGCGACAAGGAUGUCAAGCCUUGGUAAGGUUCUUCGCGUAGCCUCGAAUUAAACCACACGCUCCACCGCUUGUGCGGGUCCCCGUCAAUUCCUUUGAGUUUUAGCCUUGCGGCCGUACUCCCCAGGCGGAAUGCUUAACGCGUUAGCUUCGCUACCAAACGGGUCGAAUCGUCUGACAGCCAGCAUUCAUCGUUUACGGCGUGGACUAC